rnacentral:rRNA from 1 species
GAUGAACGCUAGCUACAGGCCUAACACAUGCAAGUCGAGGGGCAUCAGGAAGAAAGCUUGCUUUCUUUGCUGGCGACCGGCGCACGGGUGAGUAAACACGUAUCCAACCUGCCCUUUACUCGGGGAUAGCCUUUCGAAAGAAAGAUUAAUACCCGAUAGUAUAAUGAUUCCGCAUGGUUUGAUUAUUAAAGGAUUCCGGUAAAGGAUGGGGAUGCGUCCACUAGUUGUU